rnacentral:rRNA from 1 species
UGGGGGAUAUUGCACAAUGGGCGAAAGCCUGAUGCAGCGACGCCGCGUGGGGGAUGAAGGCCUUCGGGUUGUAAACUUCUUUUGCUCUGAACAAGGCGCACCAUGGGGUGUGUUGAGUGUAGGGGUUGAUUAGCGCCGGGUAACUACGUGCCAGCAGCCGCGGUAAUACGUAGGGCGCGAGCGUUGUCCGGAAUUAUUGGGCGUAAAGGGCUUGUAGGUGGCUGGUUGCGUCUGUCGUGAAAGCUCAUGGCUUAACUGUGGGUUUGCGGUGGGUACGGGCUGGCUUGAGUGCAGUAGGGGAGGCUGGAAUUCCUGGUGUAGCGGUGGAAUGCGCAGAUAUCAGGAGGAAUACCGGUGGCGAAGGCGGGUCUCUGGGCUGUUACUGACACUGAGGAGCGAAAGCAUGGGGAGCGAACAGG